GCAAGGAGGAGAGGGAUGGAGGGCUGGCUGGAGGAGCACAUGGGGAGCACUCCUCAAAUGCUUCCUAGAGGUCAUGGAGUCACUUCCUGCUGCAGAGUCCUCACUCCAGCUUUCUCACCAAUCCUCCCCCUACACAAGAAGAUCAUCUCUGGGUUCAGGUCACCCAUCCAACUCCACUGAUGGAUUUAGGCUCAUUUAAUCCAAACUCGACUCCAUUUCAGCCAGAACCAGGCACCUCUAGAAAGGUCACCCUAACUGCCACAUCCAGUUCCUGAUCUGCCAUCUGCUUCUUUUCCAUCACUUGUGGGGUAUUUCCCAGCCUACCACUAAUGUGAGCCCUCCUGAGUCAAAAGUUCCCCUCUUCCAGGCCUCCUGCUCAGCUGACGUCCUGGACCAGGCAGGCCACCCUUGUUCCACUUCCCCUGGGAAGACACCUGGGUCUUGUGCCUGCCCUGGAUUAGGGUGGGCAAAUUAGUUCAUCCAGGACUAGAAGAAUGGAAAUAAACAGACUUGUGUCUUGGGGCUGACUCUGAAAGGUCCAAUGUUAUGCCUAACAGAAAAGCUCACCUUCCUCCAAACCCCUGGAGCCAUCUCAGGAGGCCCAGGGCCACCUAUUCCAUUCCUGACAAAACCCUAGAUGCCCA
rnacentral:lncRNA from 1 species